UACGUAGGGGGCAAGCGUUGUCCGGAAUCAUUGGGCGUAAAGAGCGUGUAGGCGGCCCGGUAAGUCCGCUGUGAAAGUCCAGGGCUCAACCCUGGGAUGCCGGUGGAUACUGUCGGGCUCGAGUCCGGUAGGGGAGUGUGGAAUUCCUGGUGGAGCGGUGAAAUGCGCAGAUAUCAGGAGGAACACCCGUAGCGAAGGCGGCACUCUGGGCCGAUACUGACACUGAGGAGCGAAAGCGUGGGGAGCGAACAGG
rnacentral:rRNA from 1 species